AAGUCGUAACAAGGUUUCCGUAGGUGAACCUGCGGAAGGAUCAUUAUCGUAGGGCUUUUGUCCUGUCGAGAUCUAGCCGUUUGCCUUGCCUCAUUUUUGGAUGCAUCCGUUCGUUUCCUCAGGCAGGUCUUGCCUGCUAGCUCGGGACCCUCAAAACUCUUUGUAAAUACAGUAAUCGUCUGAAAAACAAACAAAAAAUCAAAA
rnacentral:misc_RNA from 1 species